GCAUAUCAAUAAGCGGAGGAAAAGAAACUAACAAGGAUUCCCUUAGUAGCGGCGAGCGAAGCGGGAAGAGCUCAAAUUUGUAAUCUGGCGUCUUUCAGGCGUCCGAGUUGUAAUCUAUAGAAGUGUUUUCUAUGUCGGACCGUGUCUAAGUCUCUUGGAAUAGAGUAUCAAAGAGGGUGACAAUCCCGUACUUGACAUGACUACCGAUGUUCUGUGAUACAUUUUCUACGAGUCGAGUUGUUUGGGAAUGCAGCUCUAAAUGGGUGGUAAAUUCCAUCUAAAGCUAAAUAUUGGUGAGAGACCGAUAGCGAACAAGUACCGUGAGGGAAAGAUGAAAAGCACUUUGGAAAGAGAGUUAAACAGUACGUGAAAUUGUUGAAAGGGAAACGAUUGAAGUCAGUCAUGUCUGUUGGUUUCAGCUUGCUCUGCAAGUGUAUUACCUUCAGACGGGUCAACAUCAGUUUUGGUGCGGUGGAUAAGAACGGAUUGAAGGUGGCACCCUCGGGUGUGUUAUAGCUUUCUGUUGCAUACGCUGCCUGAGACUGAGGACUGCAGCUCGCGCUCACGCGCCGCCCCUCGGGGACGUUCGAGCUUAGGAUGUUGGCAUAAUGGCUUUAAACGACCCGUCUUGAAACACGGACCAAGGAGUCUAACA
rnacentral:rRNA from 1 species